rnacentral:rRNA from 1 species
AUUGAACGCUGGCGGCAUGCCUUACACAUGCAAGUCGAACGGUAGCGCGGGGCAACCUGGCGACGAGUGGCGAACGGGUGAGUAAAGCAUCGGAACGUGCCCUGGAAUGGGGGAUAACGUAGCGAAAGUUACGCUAAUACCGCAUAUUCUGUGAGCAGGAAAGCAGGGAAUCGCAAGACCUUGCGUUCUGGGAGCGGCCGAUGUCGGAUUAGCUAGUUGGUGGGGUAAAAGCCUACCAAGGCGACGAUCCGUAGCGGGUCUGAGAGGAUGAUCCGCCACACUGGGACUGAGACACGGCCCAGACUCCUACGGGAGGCAGCAGUGGGGAAUUUUGGACAAUGGGCGGAAGCCUGAUCCAGCCAUGCCGCGUGAGUGAAGAAGGCCU